rnacentral:rRNA from 1 species
UACGUAGGGUGCAAGCGUUGUCCGGAAUUAUUGGGCGUAAAGAGCUCGUAGGCGGUCUGUCGCGUCGGCUGUGAAACUCCCGGAGCUCAACUCCGGGUCUGCAGUCGAUACGGGCAAACUGGAGUACUGCAGGGGAGACUGGAAAUUCCUGGUGUAGCGGUAGAAAUGCGCAGAUAUCAGGAAGAACACCCGUGGCGAAGGCGGCUCUCUGGGACGGUACUGGACGCUGAGACGCGAAAGCGUGGGGAGCGAACAGG